UAAGAUGGUGCGAUGAUCGCUUGAUUAAUCAAGAGGAAAGUCCGGGCUCCACUGGAAAAUAAAACCAGGUAACACCUGGCAAGUGAAAGCUUAGGGAAAGUGCAACAGAAAAUAAACCGCCUAUGAAUUUAGGUAAGGGUGAAAAGGUGAGGUAAGAGCUUACCGCAAUAUUGGUAACAGUAUUGGCAUUGAAAACCCUUUUAGGAGCAAGGCCAAAUAGGAGUAAUGUUAUAUUCCAGUAAAGUUACUCGGGUAGGCUGCUUGAGACAAAUGGUGACAUUUGUUCUAGAUUAAUGAUCAUCAAAUUUAUAAUUAAAUUUACAGAACCCGGCUUAUGCACCAUCUUUUAUA
rnacentral:RNase_P_RNA from 1 species